UUUCUGCCAGGUGUUGACAUGUGUCCUGUUUGAUGACUUUUCCGAUUCAUUUCAAUUUUUUGUCGAGUCACACGGUACGUGUAAAAUUUAUGUAAUACAUGAGCGUUGAAACUUUGAUUUAUCGGUCAACAUUUAUUUACCAAAAUUUCGAUGUCUAGAAAUGCCCCCACUUCAAGGCGCGUCGUAUACAUGUGCUUGUCACGUGUAGGAGAUGCGUUUUGAAGUCCCUUAUUAUAGAUUUCGAUCCAAGGGUCGUUGGGGCUUGAUCUUGAAUUGGGCUGGAAAUUUCUUCAAGGGCCGUUGAGGCUUAAUCUUGAAUUGGGCUGAAAGUUUUCUUCAAGUGGCGUUGAGGCUUGUUCCUAAUUUUUUUUUUUUUGAAAUUCCUUCGAGGGCCGUCGGGGCUUGAUCUUGAAGGUUGGAAUUGGACCACAAGGAGCUUCACGUGGUAGAUGAUCUUUGGCUUUGGAUGAAUCAGCACGUAUUUUGUUACGCUUGUUGACUUUCCACAGCUUUAAUCUUGAACUGGGUUGGAGGAUUUUCUGGUUCCUCCAAUUGUUGGCUUCCAUAUUAUUCUUGAACUGGAUUUGAUUCAAGGGUGGUGGACGCUUGAUCUUGAAUCGGACUUGUGAUUCCUCAAGGGCCGUCGAGGCUUGAUCUUGAAUUUGGCUGGAAGCUUCUUCAAGGGCCAUUGAGGCUUGAUUCUUGAAGGUUGACUCAAACACAUGGCAACCAGGCACGAGGUGAAGGUGACGACUUGUUGCUUUGUUCAAUCUUUCUAAUUCACACCUGAGCAGUUUGGUCAAUGGUAUGAUCUUCAAGAUUGAUGGGCUCUUCUUCCAGUUGGUGACUUGAUCUUUAAGGAUU
rnacentral:lncRNA from 1 species